AGAGUUUGAUCCUGGCUCAGAACGAACGCUGGCGGCGUGGAUAAGACAUGCAAGUCGAGCGCUGAUUACGGGGUAGCAAUAUUCCGUAGUCGGAGCGGCGCAAGGGUGCGUAACACGUGGGUAAUCUGCCAUGAAGUUUGGAAUAACUCGCUGAAAGGCGAGCUAAUGCCGGAUGUGAAAGCUGGGAGGCAUCUCUUGGUUUUCAAAGCUGGGGACCGUAAGGCCUGGCGCUUCAUGAUGAGCCCGCGGCCUAUCAGCUAGUUGGUAAGGUAACGGCUUACCAAGGCUAAGACGGGUAGCUGGUCUGAGAGGACGACCAGCCACACUGGAACUGAGACACGGUCCAGACACCUACGGGUGGCAGCAGUCGAGAAUUUUUCACAAUGGGCGCAAGCCUGAUGGAGCGACGCCGCGUGGGGGAUGAAUGGCUUCGGCCCGUAAACCCCUGUCAUUUGCGAUCAACCGUUAUUAUUUAAAAGAUGAUGACCUGAUAGUAGCGAAAGAGGAAGGGACGGCUAACUCUGUGCCAGCAGCCGCGGUAAUACAGAGGUCCCAAGCGUUGUUCGGAUUCACUGGGCGUAAAGGGUGCGUAGGUGGCGGAGUAAGUCGGAUGUGAAAUCUCCGAGCUCAACUCGGAAACUGCAUUGGAAACUACUCUGCUCGAGGGUUGGAGGGGGGACUGGAAUACUUGGUGUAGCAGUGAAAUGCGUAGAUAUCAAGUGGAACACCAGUGGCGAAGGCGAGUCCCUGGACAACUCCUGACACUGAGGCACGAAAGCUAGGGGAGCAAACAGGAUUAGAUACCCUGGUAGUCCUAGCCGUAAACGGUG
rnacentral:rRNA from 1 species